UUAAAAAAAAAAAAAUUAUAUAUAAUUUGUUCAUGAAUAUUUGUCUUUCCAAGGCAUUGAAAAACGCUUCUUUGACUGUGCGAUUGGAAGAACAGGAGAUUGGGAUUGCCGAAACAGAUCUGUUCCAGAAGAAGCCAUGGCUAAUCCUGCUCACGAGCAGAGCACAGAGGGGUUAACAUCACAUAUGUCCUAUUCCCUCUAGAGAUAUAUUAGUCCACUCUCCACCACUAUGCUUGACUUGAGCUGAUAUGGAGCUUUGGAGGAGCUGACUUGACUUGAUUUCCCAUUCACUUGAAACAAUAAAUUAUACCAUUACUUGUAUAUAUUAUUUUUGGCAAUUAAAA